rnacentral:rRNA from 1 species
GACAGAGGGUGCAAACGUUGUUCGGAAUUACUGGGCGUAAAGCGCGUGUAGGCGGCAAGGCAAGUCGGAUGUGAAAGCCCACGGCUCAACCGUGGAAGUGCACCCGAAACUGCCUAGCUAGAGUCUCGGAGAGGAAGGUGGAAUGCUUGGUGUAGAGGUGAAAUUCGUAGAUAUCAGGAGGAACACCGGUGGCGAAGGCGGGUCUCUGGGCCGAUACUGACGCUGAGGAGCGAAAGCGUGGGGAGCGAACAGG